GGGCGGCCGUGACGCUGCCGCCUUCCCCUCGUUACCUUUGUGCUCGUCAUCCAGGAUUCUAGAGAAGCCUUUGUGUGAAGCAAUACUCCCCUUCCAUCUUUAUGUCCUUUUGAAGAACUCCAGAGCCAACUAUAUUGUUAACUGUAUCUUAGAGGAUCCUUGCUUUGACAGCUGGUAAGGUGGUUUAUGUCAGAACACAAUAACUGAGCUUACGGUGGAUGUACUGUAGAUAAUACCUGAAGUUUCAGAUACUGUUUACCUUUUUGUAAAAGCUGCAGCAAUUUUUAAGAAAGUCAUUGCAUGGUUACUACUUGAAAAAUAUGUCACAUUAUGGGCAAAUCACUUGAAGAUAAAUUUUAAGCUAUUAUGAUGUAAAAUGUAUUUAUGUUCUUUGCUUUUCUUUUUUAGUAUUUUAUAAUUAACUAUGUCAUGCUGAGAUCUACUGAAUAUAUUUCAUUCUAAGAAAUGCCUCACAUUCAUUUUCACCCCAUAUGCGGAAGAUACUGGGGACUUUUUUGAUCUUCUGUUCAGUUUCAUUAGAUUAGGAUAUAUUUUACAUUCUAACCUUAACUUUAUUUUCCUGCAUUCUUUACCCUCUGCAUAUUGAUGCAAUUAACAGUAUGAUAAGCUGAGCAAGCAUUUUCACUGAAAGCUUAUCUAUCAUAUAGAACUCUUGUCAUAUCAAAGAAUCUGAGUGACCUUGUGACCUGAAUUUCCAGGGUGGAACAAAAGGUUAAAUACUCACCGUCUUCAUAUCUCACAUGGAUACAAGAUAUGGAUACAGAUGGUUUGGCAUCUACGUAAGCUAAGGACUCCUAUGUUUUGUCAAAAUGGUUUUAUCGUAACCCAUCUUCUACUUAACCACCUCAUUUAAGUCAUUUGUCUAUGUAAGAAAGCAAGAUUCUUAAGAUCAAGAGCAAUGAACCUAGUAACUGGUAUGUGAAAAUAAAAGCAAAAUACAUACUGAAUGGCUAGUACUUUAUGUACCUAGGCACACACUGAAAACAGAGUUAUUCAUCAAUACCGGUAAACAACCAUUUCCAGCACAACAAUUUUCAGAUUUCUGGUUUCUUAGCAUUCUUUAAAGGCAUGUUUUUGUAGUUCUUCAAAAUCAGAAUCUCAUCUAGGAAUCAGUUUUUGCAGUUUGUGAAAAUUAGUCAUCAAUUAAAGAAAAACUAUCUACAAAAAUUAGCCUGUCUUCAGAGUCAUGGUUAACAUUUCUUUAUAGAUAGUAUCGUUUUGUGUAUGUCACUUUGUCUGGAAGAUGAAACUACAUUCCAGUUACCUUA